rnacentral:ncRNA from 1 species
GGGUUCAGAGAAUAUUCUCUGGAGGAAUAUUUAGCUGGUCGGGCCGCCAUCUG